rnacentral:rRNA from 1 species
AUUUGACCUCAGAUCGGGUGGGACUACCCGCUGAACUUAAGCAUAUC